GACCCAAAAGAAAAAACUUAAAUCUAAUUUUUUUUUUGGUUCUCUCUCUGACGGCUGUUCUCCUUCCCUUGUCAUCUUCUCUUCUCCCCUCUCUCUCGAUCAUUCAUGAAGUUGUAAUGGUGUUUGGGUCAGAUGUGUGAGUUUCUGGCACUGAGAUGGUUUGAUUUCUUUAAUGGAGAGACAGAAGAUGAGGCUCGCCGAGCAGAGUUCUGGUUAAAGGUCUAACCUUUUCUUUCGGUUUUGUUUUCUUUACUUAUUCACUCUUCCUCUUCCUGGGACCUCCAUUCUUUCUGGUUAAAGGUCUGACCUUUUCUUUUCUCUCUCUCUCUCUCUCUCUCUCUCUCAUCUAUGUCUCUCUGUGUGUGUGUUCUUGGUGGAGGAGGAUGGAGAAGAAGCUUGACGGAGUUUGACGGCGGAUGAGUCGUGAGUAAGCUGUCUGUGGAGAAAUUGUUAACAUUGCUCAGAUUCUUACUUUGUGUUCCCACACGGCUUUGUUGGACGAGAAUGCAACUUCUCAUAAGUUCAGAGAAAGAUGGAAUCCUCUGUCUUAUUCCUCAUACCCAUUGCCCUUCAUGGCGGAAGUCUGGUUACAAGAGACAUGAAGUGUUUGGUUUCAGACAGCAUAUUUUGUAGGGGUUCAAAUGGAAGCAAGUUGCAAAGAUAGUGAAAGUAAAGAGUAGAGACCGGAGACAAGGCAACUGAGUGUGGUGGGUGCUGUUAGAGUUGCGAUCAGAAGCUCUUUCAUGGUGACUUGCUGAUAAUACUAUAUGAAGUGAAAUCAACUGUAUAAACCAUUGUACAUGAGUAUAAGGUCUUUUGUUGAGCUGAUCAUUAAAACGUUGUAUGUGGGACGUAGAUACAACAUGAGAAGAAGUGAAAUCAAAUGAGAUCUUUUUAGUUUUCGUUACCAAA